UACAGAGGUGGCAAGCGUUGUUCGGAAUUACUGGGCGUAAAGGGCGCGUAGGCGGCCUUCUAAGUCAGACGUGAAAUCCCCAGGCUUAACUUGGGAACUGCGUCUGAUACUGGGAGGCUUGAGUGCGGGAGAGGGAUGUGGAAUUCCAGGUGUAGCGGUGAAAUGCGUAGAUAUCUGGAGGAACACCGGUGGCGAAGGCGGCAUCCUGGACCGACAUUGACGCUGAACGGCGAAAGCUAGGGGAGCAAACGGG
rnacentral:rRNA from 1 species